GACGGGGGGGGCAAGUGUUCUUCGGAAUGACUGGGCGUAAAGGGCACGUAGGCGGCCACCGCAAGUCGACUGUGAAAUCUCCGGGCUUAACCCGGAAAGGUCAGCCGAUACUGCGGGGCUAGAGUGCAGAAGGGGCAACUGGAAUUCUCGGUGUAGCGGUGAAAUGCGUAGAUAUCGAGAGGAACACCUGCGGCGAAGGCGGGUUGCUGGGCUGACACUGACGCUGAUGCGCGAAAGCUAGGGGAGCGAACGGG
rnacentral:rRNA from 1 species